CUCCGAAAGCCUAACGGUUAAGCCGUCAGAUUUCCCGGAGGACUGACCAAACCGGCUACGGACCCUUUAGACCCAAUAAUCACGAUCACCACUCGGGCCGCCGGUGUUACCGCGGCGGCUGGCACCGGUCUUGCCCGGCCCUUGCUAACAGGUGUAUUUUACACACCCGGACAGCCAGCAUAUGAUGCUGGCACUCGGUGUCCCCUUAUCACGGUUUCCCGCAUUGUAAAGUUUUCGCGCCUGCUGCGCCCCGUAGGGCCCCCCGUGCCCCCGCCCCGCCCGCCGCGCG
rnacentral:rRNA from 1 species